rnacentral:rRNA from 1 species
AGUGAACGCUGGCGGUAGGCCUAACACAUGCAAGUCGAACGGCAGCACAGUAAGAGCUUGCUCUUACGGGUGGCGAGUGGCGGACGGGUGAGGAAUACAUCGGAAUCUACUUUUUCGUGGGGGAUAACGUAGGGAAACUUACGCUAAUACCGCAUACGACCUACGGGUGAAAGCAGGGGAUCUUCGGACCUUGCGCGAUUGAAUGAGCCGAUGUCGGAUUAGCUAGUUGGCGGGGUAAAGGCCCACCAAGGCGACGAUCCGUAGCUGGUCUGAGAGGAUGAUCAGCCACACUGGAACUGAGACACGGUCCAGACUCCUACGGGCGGCAGCAGUGGGGAAUAUUGGACAAUGGGCGCAAGCCUGAUCCAGCCAUGCCGCGUGGGUGAAGAAGGCCUUCGGGUUGUAAAGCCCUUUUGUUGGGAAAGAAAAGCAGCAGGUUAAUACCCCGCUGUUCUGACGGUACCCAAAGAAUAAGCACCGGCUAACUUCGUG